CCUACGGGAGGCAGCAGUGGGGAAUAUUGGACAAUGGGGGCAACCCUGAUCCAGCCAUGCCGCGUGUGUGAAGAAGGCCCUCGGGUUGUAAAGCACUUUCAGUGAGGAAGAACGCCUGGUGGUUAAUACCCAUCAGGAAAGACAUCACUCACAGAAGAAGCACCGGCUAACUCCGUGCCAGCAGCCGCGGUAAUACGGAGGGUGCGAGCGUUAAUCGGAAUUACUGGGCGUAAAGCGCGCGUAGGUGGCUUGAUAAGCCGGUUGUGAAAGCCCCGGGCUCAACCUGGGAACGGCAUCCGGAACUGUCAAGCUAGAGUGCAGGAGAGGAAGGUAGAAUUCCCGGUGUAGCGGUGAAAUGCGUAGAGAUCGGGAGGAAUACCAGUGGCGAAGGCGGCCUUCUGGACUGACACUGACACUGAAGUGCGAAAGCGUGGGUAGCACACAGGAUUAGAUACCCCAGUAGGA
rnacentral:rRNA from 1 species